rnacentral:lncRNA from 1 species
GGUGACUGACUGCCCAGUGCAUGGAUCUCAGCAGCACGGCUUGACUUUCGGGCGGCAGGCAAGGAUGCUAAUCCACAAGGUUCCUGAGUCCAACAUCCCUCCCUCCAAUGUGGGGCUCGAAUCCGCUAUUGCAACCAAACCCGGGUUCUGCCCGCAGGGUGGCGCAAUGACAAGAGCCACCAGGUGACCCUGGUAACUCCCGCACCUAGGUGAGCUGGAGGACCCCGGGGCUAGACAGAGGUGGGAGGGCGGGGGCGCUGGGCGGGGCUGCUCUGGCAGUGACUGCUGAGUCCCUGAGGGCGGUCAGGCGGAUGGAGGGGCCGGACGCGGGGGCUCGGGUCCUUCCGGGUAUGACCUGUGGUGGGGGCGCGGAGGCCCUGGCGGGCGGGCCUGGGUGGUCUGGCGGAGGCGGAAACCACGCUGGGCCGCUUCUCCUCAGCGCCUAGAGAGAAGGCGGAGAGUGCUCAGGGUCGGAGAGGGGACGUUUCUCCCGAGGCGAGAGCCAAGCCUGACUCCGAACCGCGCCCGAGGUCGCCCCCGCGACUUGCCUCCCAGCCCGGAGGUCUCCAAGUGCAGCUAGGAGUCUCUCGCCAAACUCAAAGGAGGCGAUGUACCUGCCACCCUAAGCUUGUCUGGGUGGCAUAGAGCUGUGGCUCUCGAGAGCUCGGUAACCCUAAAGGAAGCCACCUGUUUCCCAAGCCCGUGGAGGCGGCUGCAGGGAAGAACUGUGGUCUCUAAUAAUCUCCAUCUCCACCCAAGCCGUGAGUGGUGCCCUAACCUUCAGGUCUGGGAUCCCAGCCUCCAAUCAGACUUUCCCUGCAGACCUGGAAAAGGCCAGUCCUGUGCAGUGUGGCCUUAGGGCAUCUACAGCUCUGGACAGAGGGAGAAGGUCCAAGUCCCUGCUUCCUGCUGAGGGGACGGCUAAGGAAGAGAAACUACCUUAAUGGUGACCUUAUUCUAUUCUAGUUCUCUCUCUCUCUCUCUCUCUCUCUCUCUCUCUCUCUCUCUCUCUCUCUCCUCUCUGUCUCCCUCCCUCUUCCCUCUCUGUCUGUCUCUCUCUCUCUCUCUCACUGUGUGUGUGUGUGUGUGUGUGUGUGUGUGUGUGUGUUGUGUCGAUGGAGAGCUAGCUGCCAUUGCCUGCUGAACUCUCUCCAUAUUUUAACCAUUACCUGCCAAGAAAGGCCCUUCCCUGCACAUCUGCAGUGGCAAUCCUUUCCCUUGGGGAUCCCUCCACUCAGGGUCCCACCUCUUGGAAAGAAGCUGUCUUAGAGGCAUAAAGAACCCUGCUAGCUAGUGCACCAUCCAUCCCAGCAAAAGAAGGCUUAGCGGCAGAGUUGAGAACGGAGACCAGGCCUACAUCCUCUCAGGACCUGACCCCUAAGGUCUCAGGUCCCAACCCUCUGAGCCUCCAUGGACCCAUGCUGUCAGACCAGCAGGCCUUAACAGAGACCUCCACGUUUCUAAGAAAGCACAAACCUGAGUUUGUAUUGGGCAUUCCAGGUUCUCUGGGCAGCUCUUCCUGGUCCUCACCCAUUGUGGAUAUACUCACGUCUGAUCCCCAGACUGCUCGGACGAUGGAAGAAAGGAGGUGGCUCUACCUACAGUUUGUAUCUUCCUGUCACUUGGGCUGUUGUGACCCCCUCCCCACCCAGCACCCCCGGACAGGGCCCUGGCGGACCCUGGUGUAGUCAGCCCUUGUUAUACAGGUAUAGACCACUAUGGGUUGUCAGGAGCUCAUCCAGCUCCGCUCUGUACAAGCACUGACACGCAAGGGGUGCCCUGAGCUCUUCCAGGCUCUGUGCUCAGAAUUGAGCCCAGUACAAUCUGUGGGCACACAGUUAGUGCUCCAAGCCCAUGCCAGGCUCAUUGUUGGAUCAUCUUAAAAGACCAGUACACCCUCCAGGUCUUUAGACUCCUUUCAAGCCAAUUGGUUCACAUCCUCAGCCACCAGAGAGACCCUGAGCUGUAGCUGCUAGAAAGAACGUUAUUCAGGGUGGGCUCAUAUCUUCUCUAGGACUGAUCAAAUACAGCAUCAUGUCAGGGCCUCCUAGGACCAAAUCAUCAGGACACUGCUUCAUGGUCUCAGACCUGGAGUUCCUAGUAUUGAGGGCAGGGAAAGAGCUAGUCCUUUCUCAAGAUGCACCCAGUAGGGUAGGAGACUUUUAGAAGGAUGUGAUGGUUUAGCUGUGAUCUGAAGCCUGCUGCUACUAUAAAAGGAGAAAACAAUAGUCCCUGUAGGCAGCAUCAUAUGCAAAAGGCCCUGAAGUCCCGGACAGCGCAGGGUAUUUAAUAACACAGGAAUCUACAGAUCUUUAAAAACGUGAGUGGAAGCUAUUGAAACUGCCUCUCUGUUUUACCUUGUGGGACAUCGGACCUUGUCCAGGUGUGGACCAGUUCCUCCUUCUCUCUCUUUUUUCUUCCUGCCCCCACCUGCCUCCUUGGCUGCUGCUAGUUUUACCCAGGUCUAAAUGACUUUUCCCUACGCCUGGGCUUCCCCAUCGUCACGUGGGCUUUGCAGUUCUAGAGUGAAGAUAUCAUUGCCUGAACUCUGUUCAGGUGCCCAUUCCUGGACCAGUCUUGGAGCCUGGGAAAAGUAAUGGAGUGGGCCUGUGAACCUGAGGUUGGCUUGUGUGCCCUCAGCCUUGGCCUGCUUCUCCCUCUUCCCCUGCAUCCAGAGCUGUAUGUCAGGCAGUUGGCAGGGCAUCCCUGCAUAGCCGUGGAGAUUUUUAAUUGCGGGCCUAAAAGAGACAAAUGUGGAGGUGGUGAAGGGUGAACUCAGAGCAGAGCUCCUGUAGACUGCUGCCCUGACCACUGGGUUCCAAGAGGCCAUGGGUCCUCCUAGGGAUUGGACAGUUGGCGCUUUUAAAGUCUACUUGUCAAUCCCAGAAGGCUGGCCUCCCAGUAACAUGCUUGGGGCAUUGGGCCAAGCACACUGCCUCCCACCCCCGUGGUAAUCUGGAGGUCUCAGGGAUACUGUUAGAAUUGUCUGCAGUGGAAGCUGCAGUUGGGAUCAGAGCUAGUCCCUCAAUAGAAUUGUCAUCGAUAGGGUGUCGCUAUCCACCCCUCACUGCUGCUUCGUGCUCCAUCCCUCAGACCUACAGGAGCAGUUUUUCUGCAGCACCACAUCUGUAGCCCUGCAUGCCGCUGGCUCCAGUGUUGUGUGUGUGGUCAUGCUCCAUCCAGCCCAGCAGCAACUUUGGUGUUUGACACCCCUCGGGAGGCACCGCUUUGGAAGAGACUGGUAACAGCAGGGUGGGACCGGCUACUUAGCUGUUCUCAGUCUGAAAGGAUUCUGGAAAGGGGCUCUAUUUAACCCAAGCACUGGAGUCCAACACAGCCUCUGCCGUGUGACAGGUGUGUGCGGAGCCCAAGAUGUGUUGGGAACAGCUAUCGUUUCUACUGCUUUGUCCCAUGCCUCUGGAGCUCCUGGGUUCCUGAACUUCAAGCUGGGCCCCAUCCUUCACCCUAUCAGGGCCCUGGGUGGAGCUGACUUCCAACAGUAUACAGUGGGUCUUGGUACUUCCUCCUUGGCAUUCGACAGUUGGUGUUUUUGAAGUCAGAGCCAUCCUCAGUAGGCUCCUAGGGGAUCGUAAGCGGCUUUCUCUGGGUGGAAACCUACUCCAUGCAGCCUUCAGCAAAGGAUCCUACGGCUGUUGAUCCCCUCGGAAGUGAGACAUAAUGUCCCGGAGCAGAUGCUGAUGGGGACUCACUGUUGGGCCACCUGAUUUCUGUGUUCAUCUUCCCAGGCUCCACCUUUCAGAUCCCAUCCCUGGUGUCUGCAGUUACAACUUUACUAACCAGAACUUUGUUUCCAGCUUACGCUGAAAAGCAAAGGGUGACUUAGAAUAAAAAUGUAACAAAUAGCCCCAUAGCCCAAACCUUUUCUGCCAUGAUUUACUGUACCAGAUACCUAUAAGUGUCCAGGGCAAAUUAAACACAUCAAUAAAUGGC